ACGGGAGGCAGCAGUGGGGAAUAUUGCACAAUGGGGGAAACCCUGAUGCAGCGACGCCGCGUGAGUGAAGAAGUAUUUCGGUAUGUAAAGCUCUAUCAGCAGGGACGAAAAUGACGGUACCUGACUAAGAAGCCCCGGCUAACUACGUGCCAGCAGCCGCGGUAAUACGUAGGGGGCAAGCGUUAUCCGGAUUUACUGGGUGUAAAGGGAGCGUAGACGGCGAUGCAAGUCUGAUGUGAAAACCCAGGGCUUAACCUUGGGCCUGCAUUGGAAACUGCUUUGCUAGAGUGCAGGAGAGGUAAGUGGAAUUCCUAGUGUAGCGGUGAAAUGCGUAGAUAUUAGGAGGAACACCAGUGGCGAAGGCGGCUUACUGGACUGUAACUGACGUUGAGGCUCGAAAGCGUGGGGAGCAAACAGGAUUAGAUACCCUGGUA
rnacentral:rRNA from 2 species